AGUGCCACAGGCAUGCCAACCUUCGGUUAGGGCCAUGUUGAGUGUGGCCGAAAGGUGGGAGCGAAAUAAAACAAGGAGCAGAACCGCGAAGAAGCCAUGUUUGGUGCGUCGAAGUUUAAACUCGUAGGACUUGGGAGGAGCCAAGGUAUAUCCGCAGAAGAGACCACCCCUGCCCUUUCGCUUUGACGCUCAUUGGGCCUUUUGGCUGCGCAUUUCACCCCGGGCUGAGAAAACAAGCUGGGGAUUCGACAAGAAUGAACUCAAAGUCUGGAAACGGCAGCUUCUGAGAGUUUACAAUGUUUCACCAACUGUCGUCCAAAUAAGUCGUCACCCCUGUCAGAGUAGUUGCAGCUCUGCCGUUACCCACUGCUGUCACUGUGGCCGUUUUAUUCGCGAGGGUUACAGUUCUGUUUAGCAUGCAUCUAAUGACUUAAGACUCCACGCAAGUAAAACGGAGUUUCCUCCCAUUAAGUAUUGGCUUUGCUUUAACAGUGCUUUGAGAGGCUCUCUGUGGCCAACAUAUCUUCUCAUAUCUUUGUCCUCGUUUCCCAAUCUCCGCGUGGUGAAAUCAUCUAUCAAGACUUGGCUUAAAGGACCUCUCUUCUGCAAAUAAUGCCAUCUUCCGCUAGGUGCUCACUGCACACAGACUCGCCGCCCACCACUUCUGUCCACCUUCUGAACUCCGAUAGUUAUUUACCCAGAGACUGUUUCUCAUCUUUAAGUGUCGUGAAGACUUUAAGAUCUGUUUUAUCUCUCUAUACCCCAAAAUGGCCUAGCACAGUAACUAGGACAUUGUAGGUGCUCAAUAAAUGUUUGUCGAAUAUCAAUGACAGCAGGAGGCAGUAAAUGGUCCCUCUUUGUAGGGCCUACAGCUGUGCCUGAGUAGGAUGUACAGAAGUCCUGCAUACGUGUGAAGUGUCUCCAGGAAGCUGCACUGGAGGGGACAGGAAAUGUGGGUAAUCGUAUGGUGCAAGUGGUAGCAAA
rnacentral:lncRNA from 10 species